UACGAAGGGGGCUAGCGUUGUUCGGAAUUACUGGGCGUAAAGCGCGCGUAGGCGGCGAUCUUUGUCAGAGGUGAAAUCCCGGAGCUUAACUUCGGAAUUGCCUUUGAAACGGGGUCGCUAGAGUCCGAGAGAGGAUGGCGGAAUUCCUAGUGUAGAGGUGAAAGUCGUAGAUAUUAGGAAGAACACCGGUGGCGAAGGCGGCCAUCUGGCUCGGUACUGACGCUCAGGCGCGAAAGCGUGGGGAGCAAACAGG
rnacentral:rRNA from 1 species